UGUUACUGGUCGGAAGAUGUUCUUGAUUGUAGAGGAGAGGAAUCUCUCUAUAUAAAAGGAAAGCAGGCAGGGGCCUGCAAAAAGACGGGUCGUGAGGGAGGAAAGAGCCCCUUCAGGAGAAGGAGGAUGUCAUUGUAUUUGUAGACCACCCCAAACUUCCAUCUCUGGGCAGUUUACAACAUAAAACAGAUUAAAGAUGAAGACCUUAAAACAAAGAAUUGGGCAAAAAAAUAAGACUUUAAAGACUUAUUGGGAGUGGAGCCUGGGGAGGCUCUUAUUUCAGCAAGGAGCACAUUCCAGAGCAUCAGGAAAGCAAGAGUGAAGCCGGUGGCAACUGCAGAUGAUCCUCUUCAGAUGAUCUCAAGGGUUGGUGGGGCUCAAGGCAAAGAAGAUGUUCUCUUAAAUAUCCAGGAUUUAAGCUGUUUAGGGCUUUCUUGGUUAUAACCAGCACCUUGUAUUUUGCCCAGAAAUGUAUUGGUAGCCAAUGUAGCUCUUUUAAUAUAGAAGUAAUAUGGUUUCUCCAAGAUGACACGGUGACCAAACCUGGCAGCCACAUUCUGUACGAACUGCCGUUUCCGGACUAUGUACAAACUCAGCCCCACUUAGAGCACAUUUUAGUAGUCAAGCCUGGAGGUUACGAGCAUAUGUGCCACUGUUCUAAGGUUAUCUACCACAAGAAACGAGCUCAGCUGGCAUAUCAGCUGGAGCUGAUAGAAAGCACCUCUGGCCACCACCUCAGCCUAGGACACCACAGAUAUUUUGGGAUCCAGAAGUACCCCCCGACUGCGUACCUCUUCCAGGGAACUGUGACCCUAUCCAUAUUUAUGCUUAGGAUAUAUUUUUUUUUUACUCUGAUGGCUUAUUCAUCCCUGUUGUAAUUGCUGUGCAAUUGUGGUUACGCAAGCACCACAUAAUGACUAGUUAUUUGUAAUUUUUUACAGUACCUUGAGGCCAUUGUGUUCACUCAUGAGAUGCCUUGAGUGCCCUAUAUUGGGCAGAAAUGUAGGAUAAGAUAAAUAAAUUAAAGAAUGCCUGGACAUAUGCAUGGAUAAAUACAUGUAAAUAAAGAGAUAAAUAAUUCCCCCUGCCCACA